rnacentral:rRNA from 1 species
UAAUUUGAAGCAACGCGAAGAACCUUACCAGGUCUUGACAUCCCUUGACAACUCCAGAGAUGGAGCGUUCCCUUCGGGGACAAGGUGACAGGUGGUGCAUGGUUGUCGUCAGCUYGUGUCGUGAGAUGUUGGGUUAAGUCCCGCAACGAGCGCAACCCUUAUUACUAGUUGCCAGCAUUAGUUGGGCACUCUAGUGAGACUGCCGGUGACAAACCGGAGGAAGGGGGGAUGACGUCAAAUCAUCAUGCCCCUUAUGACCUGGGCUACACACGUGCUACAAUGGCGUAUACAACGAGUUGCCAACCCGCGAGGGUGAGCUAAUCUCUUAAAGUACGUCUCAGUUCGGAUUGUAGGCUGCAACUCGCCUACAUGAAGUCGGAAUCGCUAGUAAUCGCGGAUCAGCACGCCGCGGUGAAUACGUUCCCGGGUCUUGUACACACCGCCCGUCA